rnacentral:hammerhead_ribozyme from 1 species
AUCCAGCUGACGAGUUUCAAAUAGGACGAGCUGCACAUCCUGGAU